rnacentral:snRNA from 1 species
GUGCAGGGCUUGCUUUGUCUGCAUGCAUGCUGAAACUGGGAUAGAAGAUUAGCAUGGCCCCUAUGGAAGGAUGACAUGCAAAUUCAUGACAUCCCAUACUUUU